CUAGCAGAGCUGGCAUGGAAGAGCUAGCUUCCAGAGCAUCCUGAGAGAAGACAGCUCUACCUAUUCUCAGAGUGCUUCUGCAAGCCUGGCCCUGUCCUCCUCUGUCCUGGUCUUGUCCUGACCAGAGGAGGGUGACAGCCUCCUCCCAAAUGGCCUGCUACUGGGUCAACUGGGGACACCCCUAGUCCACAGUGGCCUGACUUGCUGCUAAGCAUGGGUGCUAUUAGGGGCAGCCAUAAUCCUGCCAGCUGUCCCUUAUCAACCCCAACAUGGCCUUUCAGUGUCCCAGCUGGGCUGGCCACAGGCUCUCAGGAUGUCCUUCUGGCUCUUUCCCCUGCUUCAACUCCCUAUAACAGGGUCUAGAAAGUUCUGUAGAAGCUGCAGCCAGACCUAACCAAGGCUUCACUGCACAUCUGUCCUGCAAGAGCCUUCGCAUGGCAGCCAGGCCCUUCCCUCCCCGGCUGGAUGUGCAGCUGCUCUCCAGUGUUUGCUGCUAAGCAAUAAGGUCUGAGUGAUCCUGUGGGGCUCCAUGGCUGUGUCCUUCUUACUGUGGCAGCUGCCCUGUUCUCAGUCUCUAAGCUGCACAUACACGGUGAACAGGCUCCUGCUAGACAAACACAUUUCACAAGUUUACAAUCUAAAAACUGCCAAUGAGGCCAGCAGUUCCUUCCACAGCCAAUCUUGCUCUGAGCCCCAACUCCCAGUCUCUCACUCCAGGAUACCAAUGGCCUGUAGUUUUGCACCAGGCACUGCUCCCCUACACAGAUCCUAACUCAGUGCUAACUCAACCCCUUUCCCAGGUGGAGAAACUGAGACACUGCUAUCAGGAGAAGGUGACUCUGGGCUAUGCGGCUUCUUACUGCAGAGCGGGCAGACGAGGAUGGUCCAACCAACAGGCACCUCCAUAGGGCUCCUGCCUGGGGUCCUGAGGCCCUGCGUUGUAUCCACUGAAGACAGUGUAGUAUACUUUUAUACAGGCUGGUAUAAAAGUAAUUUGUGUGCCGGGCGUGGUGGCUCACACUUGUAAUCCCAGCACUCCGGAGGCUGAGGUGGGAGGGUCGUUAUGAGUUCCAGACCAACCUGGGCUACAAAGUGAGCUCAAGGCCAGCCUGAACUGCAUAGCAAGACCCCAUUUCAAAAAAAAAAAAAAAGUAAUUUGCAAAGUCAAAGAACACUUAAAUUCUCGGACCCAGCCAGGAGGACCUCAUCUUCUCAGUCAUGUGGGAGGCCAAAGGAAUGGGACAUUGACAGUAAGUUAUUGUAGUCACUGCUCCAGGUCCUAUGGGCCUUGCAGGCCUCAUAGUGUCAAUGUCUUAUAGCAGCACACCCUGGGGCCAAAACGGGGUAUCCAGGAAUAUGGCCCCAGGUGCAUCACAGUGCUCAGUCCCAUUAGCCCAGUGUGGCUGAUUGCCUCACCUCAUCUGCAUGGUUGGGGAGCCACAACUCAUCUUCUUCAAUUGUUUCUUAGGUGUCACCUCCCUGGACAGCCUGCUGGCAGCUGGAGGCAUUCAGAUGUGGACUGAAUUUCUCCACUAACUGCCCUGGGUCUCCAGCUGCAGACAGGAGAUGGUGGGACUUCUUGGCCUCCAAAACUACAUGAGCCAAUAUGUCAUUUGAGAUAAACAGAUCCGAAGAUAUGCAUAACUUCUGUUCUUCUGGAGAAUCCUAAUACAAAUUUGAGUAACAAGAGGAAUUUAUGGAAUUUGCUCUCUAAGCUGAUUAAAGAUACUAAGGAUUCUAUUAGCAGUAUAAAGAAGCCAGGAGCUAAGUAACUCUGUAUGCGAUACUUCUGAACAUUUCUAGAAAACUAAGGGCCUUAAUGACAUUUCUUGAUUGCUCUUAAUGUUAUGGGGGCAGAAUGCUGAAAGAGAAGAUGUGUUCAAGGGUUUGAUGCCUCUGUGAGGCACCACAAAAAGGGCCUAAAGGGAUCUUGGAUGCACCCUGAGAGGCAGUUUGUCUCCUGCAGUUUCAAAUGCUGAAAAUUAAAUACUGAGCACAGCCUGGAGGAAUCACAAGGCAAGUUGGAGUUCAGCCUCCUGGGGUGUGUUGUGUACUGGUGGAGGAAGAGCAGUGGCUAUCAAAAAGCAGAAUUCCAGAGACUGGGAUGGGAGCGCACAAGUAGACCCCGAUGAGACUGGGAACGAAGCAGAAAGAGGUAGCCAAGGAAAUGACAGAGAAAAGAAGGAAGGGUUUGCCUUGGAGCCCACUUUUGGGACAAGGUUUACCUUCAGUUAAACAUUAGGACCAGGACCAGCAUAUCCAGGUCUAAAUGCAAUGGAUGAAAGUAACCAGACAGUUCAUACUCAGGAGGUCCACGGGGCAUGCACCCAGAGGCCUUUGCUCAGUGGUCUUCAGCAAGCAACCCUUGGCCAACCCUAGCCCAAAUCACCAUGUCAUCAACUGUGCAAUUUUGACCACACAGUGGGUUUUGGAUGCCAUAAUAGUUCCCUCUGUCAACAACCCCUUUGCCCAAUGCAAGCCCCUCACUGGCAAGGGAAAAAGCCUUAGAUCAACUCCUCAGUCUCAUUCCAACCUUAAUGCUUAAAACUUCAGCAGAAAGCUCCCUCUGGGCUGCAAGCUCUUCACACUAGCUUGCUCCCACCCUGGGGAAUAUACCUUUACUUGACAAAUAAAGGUAUAUUCUUGCUGUU